UCUUUUAAUUGAAGGCUUGUAUGAAUGGUUGAACGAGAUAUUAGCUGUUUCAGUUAAAAUUUUAGAAUUUUAUUUUUUAGUCAAAAAGCUAAAAUAUUAUUAAAAGACGAGAAGACCCUAUAGAUCUUGAUAAUUUAUAUAUUAAAUUUAUAAAGAAUAUUUAAAAUUUAAUGUAAAAAAUUAUUUUAUUGGGGUGAUAACAAAAUUUAAUAAACUUUUGUAUUUUAAAACAAUAAUUAUUGAAUUAUUGAUCCAUUUAUAGUGAUUAGUAAAUUAAGUUACCUUAGGGAUAACAGCGUAAUUUUUUUAGAGAGUUCUUAUCGAUAAAAAGGAUUGC
rnacentral:rRNA from 1 species